rnacentral:rRNA from 1 species
GAUGAACGCUGGCGGCGUGCCUAAUACAUGCAAGUCGAGCGAACAGACGAGGAGCUUGCUCCUCUGACGUUAGCGGCGGACGGGUGAGUAACACGUGGAUAACCUACCUAUAAGACUGGGAUAACUUCGGGAAACCGGAGCUAAUACCGGAUAAUAUAUUGAACCGCAUGGUUCAAUAGUUAAAGACGGUUUUGCUGUCACUUAUAGAUGGAUCCGCGCCGCAUUAGCUAGUUGGUAAGGUAACGGCUUACCAAGGCAACGAUGCGUAGCCGACCUGAGAGGGUGAUCGGCCACACUGGAACUGAGACACGGUCCAGACUCCUACGGGAGGCAGCAGUAGGGAAUAUUCCGCAAUGGGCGAAAGCCUGACGGAGCAACGCCGCGUGAGUGAUGAAGGUCUUCGGAUCGUAAAACUCUGUUAUUAGGGAAGAACAAAUGUGUAAGUAACUAUGCACGUCUUGACGGUACCUAAUCAGAAAGCCACGGCUAACUACGUG